rnacentral:lncRNA from 1 species
GGGUCCCAGGAUGCAAGCCAGGGCACUAGUGUUCCGUUAGAAGGUUUGGUCAGCCUGAAAUGCCUGUGGGCUGGGCUGAUUUCCAGAGCACCCUGAGGAAAACCUGCACUGGGUCUUCAGGACUCCAGAAAGCGUGACUCUUUGACUGUUCCAUGGUCUGAUAUGGCUUAGAGUGCCUCACCUCCUCCACUGCCCAGCUCUGCCAGAGUAUUCGAAGCACCUCGCAAACAUGACACCUUCCAGGAGCUAUCGGUGUUGUUCCUCAGCAAAGCCGAGUCAGGAAUCACAGAAUCAGUUCCCACAAGAUGUUGUGCCUUUUGAAAUGCUGAGGAUCAAUUGCUUUUGUAACAGGCAGGUAUGAUGGAAGGUUUUCUUGUGAUUCUCUAAAUCUGAAAAGGGUUCUGUGUGAAUGCUCUGAUUUUUAUGUAGCUGUAAGUGUAGUUACUCGGCAACACAG